GACUGGAUAGCCUAGUGGUCAAAGGCAGUGCUUCUAGCAAUGAUGAGGUCCAAGGUUCAAAUCCUGGUUUAGUCA
rnacentral:tRNA from 1 species